rnacentral:sRNA from 1 species
UUUUAGCCCCGAUUACAGUGGAAAUCCUUUUAGUAGGUGAUGAUGACGAAGGAAGAUUCAUCUACUAAAAGAUUGCAACGGAAAGCGGGAAAUAGC